rnacentral:sRNA from 17 species
CUGGUUCGCGGCCUGUCCAGCAGGUUGACUUGUGUUGCCGGAGCAACGCAGGCACCCCACAGUGCUUGCUAUCGCGGCAAUAUCGCCAGUGGUGCUGUCGUGAUGCGGUCUUCGCAUGGACCGCACAAUGAAGAUACGGUGCUUUUGUAUCGUACUUAUUGUUUCUGGUGCGCUGUUAACCGAGGUAAAUAAUAACCGGAGUCUCUCCGGCAACAAUUUACUGGUGGUUAACAACCUUCAGAACAGCAGGUAAGCCCGAAUGCCGCCCUUUGGGGCGGCAUAUUUU